UAGGGAAUCUUCCGCAAUGGACGCAAGUCUGACGGAGCAACGCCGCGUGAGUGAAGAAGGAUUUCGGUUCGUAAAACUCUGUUGUUAGAGAAGAACAGCGCAUAGAGUAACUGUUAUGCGUGUGACGGUAUCUAACCAGAAAGCCACGGCUAACUACGUGCCAGCAGCCGCGGUAAUACGUAGGUGGCAAGCGUUGUCCGGAUUUAUUGGGCGUAAAGCGAGCGCAGGCGGUCAAUUAAGUCUGAUGUGAAAGCCCCCGGCUCAACCGGUGAGGGUCAUUGGAAACUGGUUGACUUGAGUGCAGAAGAGGGUAGUGGAAUUCCAUGUGUAGCGGUGAAAUGCGUAGAUAUAUGGAGGAACACCAGUGGCGAAGGCGACUCUCUGGUCUGUAACUGACGCUGAGGUUAGAAAGCGUGGGUAGCAAACAGG
rnacentral:rRNA from 1 species